GAAUGCGAUAAGUAAUGUGAAUUGCAGAAUUCAGUGAAUCAUCGAAUCUUUGAACGCACAUUGCGCUCCUUGGUAUUCCGGGGAGCAUGCCUGUUUGAGA
rnacentral:rRNA from 1 species